CAGGAAGGGCAGCUCAUCGCCACAGCCUUGAAGCUUCAGAACCCGACUGUUCAGAUCCAAGCAGCACUGAGGGAGGAUCCACAUGCAACACCUGGAUCAGGUGUGGAAACAAGAACGACUGAUUAUGAUCAUCUGCAGGAACCAACCUGCAGUUGCAGAGGAAAUCUUAAACAUCCUCUCCAAAUGGU